rnacentral:rRNA from 1 species
AAGGGCGACUGAACUGUCAAAAGCUCACCGUGUGAAUCUGCGACGCCGAAUUGUGGUCUGGAGGUUCUUGCACUUGGGCAAAGUCCCUUGGAACAGGGUAGCAUAGAGGGUGAGACUCCCGUUUGCCCGGUGCUGCCAACGAGUCGAGUUGUUUGGGAUUGCAGCUCAAAGCGGGUGGUAAAUUCCAUCUCAAGCUAAAUACUGGUGGGAAACCGAUAGCGCACAAGUACCGUGAGGGAAAGAUGCAAAGAACUUUGAAAAGAGAGUUAAAGAGUACCUGAAAUUGCUGAAAAGGAAGCGAAGGAAACUAGUGCCGCUGCACCAUACUUCCCUCCUCGCUUGCGGGUAGGGCGCUGUGGUCAGCGCAGUCCCUUUUGGU